GAUGAAGAAUGUAGCGAAAUGCGAUAAGUAAUGUGAAUUGCAGAAUUCAGUGAAUCAUCGAAUCUUUGAACGCACAUUGCGCCCGCCAGUAUUCUGGCGGGCAUGCCUGUUCGAGCGUCAUUUCAACCAUCAAGCCCCAGGCUUGUGUUGGGGACCUGCGGCUGCCGCAGGCCCUGAAAACCAGUGGCGGGCUCGCUGUCACACCGGGCGUAGUAGAUUUUAUCUCGCUCAGGGCGUGCUGCGGGUUCCGGCCGUUAAAAAGCCUUUUUUACCCAAGGUUGACCUCGGAUCAGGUAGGAAGACCCGCUGAACUUAAGCAUAUCAAUAAGCGGAGGA
rnacentral:misc_RNA from 1 species